ACAGACUUCAACAGUCUUCAGGAAGACUCGGCUUCAUAAUCUGGCCCAUAAGGAAAGAAUUCCCCAAGUCUGCCCUAAUCUUCUGUGUAGGACCUAGGUAUGAUGUCCUUUAAGUUCCCUUCUAACUCCAUGAUUCUAUAAACUCAGCCCAGCUUUCCGAUUUUAGCAGAGGGUAAUCAGUUACAUGAAAACACCAAUGUCAACCUUCCAUGAUGUGGAACACCUGCUUUUCCUACAAGAUACCUUCUACACCAGCUACAAAUGGAUAUGUGGAAUUUCUCAGGCUGUUGUGUCCAAAAUAGGCUAUAAGGAGACUUUUGAUUCAGCGCUAACAUGUAAAGCUUGAAAGUCAUCACUCCCAUCCCUAAAACAAGAAAACAGUAGAACAAACUGAAAAUCAACAACUGUUCUUGAACUGUUCAGAGAACUGAGGUCCCAGGGCAAAGGACCACCCUGAAAUCUGGAGACCCAGGAGAAUAUAGAGAUCACAGCCGAGAUCUGCUUAUCUGAAGUGGAAGCUGUUGGAGCCAGAAACUGGCAGGAACACCUGCGCGGUAAUUUUGACAAAUGGCUGGAAAUGUUAGUGUGGACUAGGAUGACAGUGAGAAACUCCUGGGGGAUUAAGAAGACCUUCAUGCUUUCUUAGGUCAAUCUCCA
ensembl:lncRNA novel transcript